rnacentral:rRNA from 1 species
UACGUGGGGGGCAAGCGUUGUUCGGAAUUAUUGGGCGUAAAGGGCGCGUAGGCGGUCUGACAAGUCUGAUGUGAAAUCUAUGGGCUCAACCCAUAGUCUGCAUCGGAAACUGUCGGGCUUGAGUAUGGGAGAGGUGAGUGGAAUUUCCGGUGUAGCGGUGAAAUGCGUAGAUAUCGGGAGGAACACCAGUGGCGAAGGCGGCCUUCUGGGCCAAUACUGACGCUCAUGCACGAAAGCGUGGGGAGCGAACAGG